rnacentral:rRNA from 1 species
GACGAACGCUGGCGGCGUGCUUAACACAUGCAAGUCGAACGGAAAGGCCCUGCUUUUGUGGGGUGCUCGAGUGGCGAACGGGUGAGUAACACGUGAGUAACCUGCCCUUGACUUUGGGAUAACUUCAGGAAACUGGGGCUCAUACCGGAUAGGAUCUCCUGCUGCAUGUUGGGGGUUGGAAAGUUUCGGCGGUUGGGGAUGGUCUCGCGGCUUAUCAGCUUGUUGGUGGGGUAGUGGCUUACCAAGGCUUUGACGGGUAGCCGGCCUGAGAGGGUGACCGGCCACAUUGGGACUGAGAUACGGCCCAGAAUCCUACGGGAGGCAGCAGGGGGGAAUAUUGCACAAUGGGCGGAAGCCUGAGGCAGCAACGCCGCGUGCGGGAUGACGGCCUUCGGGUUGUAAACCGCUUUCGCCUGUGACGAAGCGUGAGUGACGGUAAUGGGUAAAGAAGCACCGGCUAACUACGUG